CCUGGUAUUUUGGGCAGACAAUGAUGAGUGUCAUAUGCAAGAUAAAUUUUUGUGUAUAAAUGAAAGUGUAAGCACUCCACCUCAAGAGUAACAUGGCAACAUGGGAACUGAAAUCAUUAGACCGUUUCUGAAACUCGUAGUGAAGUAUGUUGUUUAAUUUGAUAACCCACAAAUAACCUUACCAUAACUUGAAUUACUUUAGUUUACUUAAGUAACAAGCGUUGCACGGCUGUCUCCAGUCAAUGUUGUGAAACUGUGGUUAGAUCCAUUGAAUUGACGUAAACCCUCACUCUACUUACUGUAGAGUGGUUCGCCGCUAUAUUGGUAGUGAUAUAUGGGACUAAGACAAGUCAUCAUGACCUGAACGUUAUGGGCUAUAGACGUGCCACAUA
rnacentral:rRNA from 1 species